rnacentral:lncRNA from 1 species
GCAGUGUUGGUGCUGACUGUUCAAUGUAAUCGGAGAUAAAGGUUUUAUACUCCCUGGCAUGGGAACAUGGGAACAGUUGCGACAAUUACAAGUACAGGACAAAACUCUAGAAGACUUAGAUAAACAACAGGAGGGUUAUAGAAAACAUUUAAGAAUGAAAUAUAUUAAGAAACUUAAGUGGGUUCUCCGAAAGCAACAUCCAAGAGGCCCUAGAGCACGUCUACCGCUGGAUAAUGUGGUUACAGUUUUAAGUGGAAUAACCUUACCACAUUUUGCUGCUGAACUCUUCCGAAAAGGCCCAAUGUGUGCGGUUGAGCAA